CCCUUAGAUGUCCUGGGCCGCACGCGCGCUACACUGAUGCGUUCAACGAGUUCUUCCUUGGCCGAGAGGCCUGGGCAAUCUUUUGAACGCGCAUCGUGAUAGGGAUUGACACUUGCAAUUAUUUGUCAUGAACGAGGAAUUCCUAGUAAACGCAGAUCAUCAAUCUGCAUUGAUUACGUCCCUGCCCUUUGUACACACCGCCCGUCGCACCUACCGAUUGGAUGGUCCGGUGAAGCCUCGGGAUUGUGGUUCUUGCCGCUUUAUUGUGGCGUGACCGCGAGAACUUGUCUAAACCUUAUCAUCUAGAGGAAGGUGAAGUCGUAACA
rnacentral:rRNA from 1 species